UUGAUCCUGGCUCAGGACGAACGCUGGCGGCACGCUUAACACAUGCAAGUCGAACGAGAGAAGAGAAGCUUGCUUUUCUGAUCUAGUGGCGGACGGGUGAGUAACACGUGAGCAAUCUGCCUUUCAGAGGGGGAUACCGAUUGGAAACGAUCGUUAAUACCGCAUAACAUAAUUGAACCGCAUGAUUUGAUUAUCAAAGAUUUAUCGCUGAAAGAUGAGCUCGCGUCUGAUUAGCUAGUUGGUAAGGUAACGGCUUACCAAGGCGACGAUCAGUAGCCGGACUGAGAGGUUGAUCGGCCACAUUGGGACUGAGACACGGCCCAGACUCCUACGGGAGGCAGCAGUGGGGAAUAUUGCACAAUGGAGGAAACUCUGAUGCAGCGAUGCCGCGUGAGGGAAGAAGGUUUUAGGAUUGUAAACCUCUGUCUUCAGGGACGAAAAAAGACGGUACCUGAGGAGGAAGCUCCGGCUAACUACGUGCCAGCAGCCGCGGUAAUACGUAGGGAGCGAGCGUUGUCCGGAAUUACUGGGUGUAAAGGGAGCGUAGGCGGGAUCGCAAGUCAGAUGUGAAAACUAUGGGCUUAACCCAUAAACUGCAUUUGAAACUGUGGUUCUUGAGUGAAGUAGAGGUAAGCGGAAUUCCUAGUGUAGCGGUGAAAUGCGUAGAUAUUAGGAGGAACAUCAGUGGCGAAGGCGGCUUACUGGGCUUUAACUGACGCUGAGGCUCGAAAGCGUGGGGAGCAAACAGGAUUAGAUACCCUGGUAGUCCACGCCGUAAACGAUGAUUAAUAGGUGUGGGGGGACUGACCCCUUCCGUGCCGCAGCAAACGCAAUAAGUAAUCCACCUGGGGAGUACGACCGCAAGGUUGAAACUCAAAGGAAUUGACGGGGGCCCGCACAAGCAGUGGAGUAUGUGGAUUAAUUCGAAGCAACGCGAAGAACCUUACCAGGUCUUGACAUCGUAUGCAUAGCUCAGAGAUGAGUGAAAUCUCUUCGGAGACAUAUAGACAGGUGGUGCAUGGUUGUCGUCAGCUCGUGUCGUGAGAUGUUGGGUUAAGUCCCGCAACGAGCGCAACCCUUACUGUUAGUUGCUACGCAAGAGCACUCUAGCAGGACUGCCGUUGACAAAACGGAGGAAGGUGGGGAUGACGUCAAAUCAUCAUGCCCCUUAUGACCUGGGCCUCACACGUACUACAAUGGCUGUUAACAGAGGGAUGCAAAGCCGCGAGGUGGAGCGAACCCCUAAAAGCAGUCUUAGUUCGGAUUGUAGGCUGCAACCCGCCUACAUGAAGUCGGAAUUGCUAAGAAUCGCAGAUCAGCAUGCUGCGGUG
rnacentral:rRNA from 1 species